rnacentral:rRNA from 1 species
AUACGAAGGGGGCUAGCGUUGUUCGGAAUUACUGGGCGUAAAGCGCACGUAGGCGGCUUUCCAAGUUGGAGGUGAAAUCCCCGGGCUUAACCCGGGAACUGCCUCCAAAACUGAAAGGCUAGAGUCCGAGAGAGGUGAGUGGAAUUUCCAGUGUAGAGGUGAAAUUCGUAGAUAUUGGAAAGAACACCAGUGGCGAAGGCGGCUCACUGGCUCGGUACUGACGCUGAGGUGCGACAGCGUGGGGAGCAAACAGGAUUAGAUACUCUGGUAGUCCACGCCGUAAACGAUGGGUGCUAGUUGUCGGGCAGCUUGCUGUUCGGUGACGCAGCUAACGCAUUAAGCACCCCGCCUGGGGAGUACGGUCGCAAGAUUAAA